UAUGGGAUUAUAUAGGGGAUAUAUGGGGUUAUAUAGGGGAUAUAUGGGAUUAUAUAGGGGAUAUAGGGGAUAUAGGGGGUUAUAUAGGGGAUAUAGGGGAUAUAGGGGGUUAUAUAGGGGAUAUAGGGGGAACAAGGACCAACUGCUGCAGCUGGAGGAGCUGGUGGAGGUCCUAUAGAUUGUAUAGGAUAAUAUAGAUAUAUGGGGUUAUAUAGGAUAAUAUAUGGGAUAUAGGGGAUAUAUAGGGGAUAUAGGGGAUAUAGGGGAUAUAGGGGAUAAUAUAGGGGAUAUAGGGGAUAUAUGGGGAACGAGAACCAGCUGCUGCAGCUGGAGGAGCUGGUGGAGAUCCUAUAGAGUAUAUAGGGGAUAUGGGGUUAUAUGGGAUAUAAUAUAGGAUAUAUGGGAUUAUAUAGGGGAUAUAGGGGGAACAAGGACCAACUGCUGCAGCUGGAGGAGCUGGUGGAGGUCCUAUAGAUUAUAUAGGGUAUAUGGGGUUAUAUAGGGGAUAUAUGGGGUUAUAUAGGGGAUAUAGGGGGUUAUAUGGGAUAAUAUAGGGGAUAUAUGGGGAAUAUAGGGGAUAUAUGGGGUUAUAUAGGGGAUAUAGGAGAUAUAUGGGAUUAUAUAGGGGAUAUAUGGGAUAUAUGGGAUUAUAUAGGGGAUAUAGGGGAUAUAUGGGAUUAUAUAGGGGAUAUAUGGGGAUAAUAUAGGGGAUAUAUGGGAUUAUAUAGGGGAUAUAGGGGAUAUAUAGGGGAUAUAGGGGAUAUAGGGGAUAUGGGGGGAUAUGGGGGAUAUAGGGGGUAUAGGGGGAUAUAGGGGGAUAUAGGGGGAUAUAGGGGGAUAUAGGGGAUAUGGGGACAUUAUGGGGAUAUGGGGGUAAUGGGGACAUUGUGGGAGCAAUAGGGGCACUGGGGACAUUGGGGUUUCAUGGGGACAUUGGGGUCUCUAUGGGGUCACUGUGUUCCCUAUGGGGCCAUGAGGACAUUGGGGUCUCUAUGGGGUCACCGUGUUCCCUAUGGGGCCAUGGGGUCUCUAUGGGGUCCCUAUAUGGCCAUGGGGGCUCUAUGGGGUCAUGGGGUCUCUAUGGGGCCAUUGGGGUCUCUAUGGGGUCUCUAUGGGGCCAUGGGGGUGUUGUGGGUCUCUAUGUGGCCAUGGGGGCUCUAUGUGGCCAUGUGGGCUCCAUGGGGUCACUGUGUUCCCUAUGGGGCCAUGGGGGCUCUAUGGGGUCACUGUGUUCCCUAUGGGGCCAUNGGGGCUCUAUGGGGUCACUGUGUUCCCUAUGGGGCCAUAGGGGCUCUAUGGGGUCACUAUGGGGCCAUGGGGGUGUUGUGGGUCUCUAUGUGGCCAUGGGGGCUCUAUGGGGUCGCUGUGUUCCCUAUGGGGCCAUGGGGGCUCUAUGGGGCACUGGGUUCCCUAUGGGGCUAUGGGGGCUCUAUGGGGCCAUGGGGGCUCUAUGGGGUCACUGUGUUCCCUAUGGGGCCAUAGGGGCUCUAUGGGGUCACUGUGUUCCCUAUGGGGCCAUGGGGGCUCUAUGGGGUCACUAUGGGGUCCCUAUGUGGCUAUGGGGGCUCUAUGGGGCCAUGGGGGCUCUAUGGGGUCACUGUGUUCCCUGUGGGGCCAUGGGGGCUCUAUGGGGUCACUGUGUUCCCUAUGGGGCCAUAGGGGCUCUAUGGGGUCACUAUGGGGUCCCUAUGUGGCUAUGGGGGCUCUAUGGGGCCAUGGGGGCUCUAUGGGGUUUCUAUGGGGUCCCUAUAUGGCCAUGGGGGCUCUAUGGGGCCAUGGGGGCUCUAUGGGGCCAUGGGGGCUCUAUGGGGCCAUGGGGUCUUUAUGGGGUCCCUAUGGGGUCUCACCUGCGCCGUCAGCUGGAUGGGGUGUGAGAGGGGCAGCGCCGUGGACCCCCCCUCGGUGGUGGCGGCAGCGUUGGGGGCGGCANNNNNNNNNNNNNNNNNNNNNNNNNUUUGGGGUCGCGUUUUGUCUCUCUGACCGCCUCUCUGUGUCCCCCCCCCCAGCUCUACAGCUGCCCAUUGGGAGCGAGAUGGGGGGGGCCGGGCCGCAGCCCCCGAG
rnacentral:lncRNA from 1 species